AUUAAACGCUGGCGGCAUGCCUUACACAUGCAAGUCGAACGGCAGCACGGGGUGGUAACACUCUGGUGGCGAGUGGCGGACGGGUGAGUAAAGCAUCGGAACGUGCCCUGGAAUGGGGGAUAACGUAGCGAAAGUUACGCUAAUACCGCAUAUUCUGUGAGCAGGAAAGCAGGGGAUCGCAAGACCUUGCGUUCGAGGAGCGGCCGAUGUCGGAUUAGCUAGUUGGUGGGGUAAAGGCCUACCACGGCGACGAUCCGUAGCGGGUCUGAGAGGAUGAUCCGCCACACUGGGACUGAGACACGGCCCAGACUCCUACGGGAGGCAGCAGUGGGGAAUUUUGGACAAUGGGCGCAAGCCUGAUCCAGCCAUGCCGCGUGAGUGAAGAAGGCCUCGG
rnacentral:rRNA from 1 species